UACAGAGGUCUCAAGCGUUGUUCGGAUUCAUUGGGCGUAAAGGGUGCGUAGGCGGCGCGGUAAGUCGGGUGUGAAAGCCCCGGGCUCAACCUGGGAAUUGCAUUCGAGACUGUGUAGCUAGGGUACGGAAGAGGGAAGCGGAAUUUCAGGUGUAGCGGUGAAAUGCGUAGAUAUCUGAAGGAACACCAGUGGCGAAAGCGGCUUCCUGGUCCAGUACCGACGUUCAGGCACGAAAGCGUGGGGAGCAAACAGG
rnacentral:rRNA from 1 species